GACGAACGCUGGCGGCGUGCUUAACACAUGCAAGUCGAACGGAAACUCCCUGCUUUUGUGGGGUGCUCGAGUGGCGAACGGGUGAGUAACAUGUGAGUAACCUUCCCUUGACUUUGGGAUAACUUCAGGAAACUGGUGCUAAUACCGGAUAUGAGCUCCUGCUGCUUGGUUGGGGUUGGAAAGUUUACGCGGUUGGGGAUGGACUCGCGGCUUAUCAGCUUGUUGGUGGGGUAGUGGCUUACCAAGGCUUUGACGGGUAUCCGGCUUGAGAGGGUGACCGGCCAGAUUGGGACUGAGAUACGGCCGGGCCUGAUACGGGAGGGAGCAGGGAGGAAUAGAGCAUAAUGGGCGGAAGACAGAUGCAGCAACGCAGAGUGCGGGAUGACGGACUGCGGGUUGGAAAGCGAUUUUGCGUGUGAAGAAGCGAGAGUGACGGUAAUGGGUAGAGAAGCACCGGCUAACUACGUG
rnacentral:rRNA from 1 species